AUACAGCUUAUGGCAACUUUAUUAUGAAUGUCCACAUAAAUAAAAGAUUUCCCUUUCAACUGUUUGCAGUUAAUAAUUCCGCUUUAUGACUCUUAACUGUAACUAACAGCAUAAAGAAACCGUUUUGUAUUCCAAUAUGACUGUAACCGUGUCCACUUUAUACAUCGAACUUGUAUUGUGAUUUAUACUACAACAAAAAUAUCCCAUAUACCUUUCAAAUUAGUCCAAGUAAAAUAGAAAAAGCACAGCUUUUAUCUUUACAAGCAAUUUCAGAGAGUAAACGAAGUGCUAUUAUUAAAGCGCAUUAAAACACACGUACGAGCAAGGUAAGAAAGCAAAACGAAGUGCUAUUAUUAAUGCGCAUUAAAACACACGUUCGAAAGCAAGGUGAGAAAAUAAAACGAAGUGCUAUUAUUAAAGCGCACUCAAACACGUUCGAGCAAGGUGAGAAAGUAAAACGAAGUGCUAUUAUUAAAGCGCACUCAAACACGUUCGAGCAAGGUGAGAAAGUAAAACGAAGUGCUAUUAUUAAAGCGCACUCAAACACGUUCGAGCAAGGUGAGAAAGUAGAACGAAGUGCUAUUAUUAAAGCGCACUCAAACACGUUCGAGCAAGGUAAGAAAGUAGAACGAAGUGCUAUUAUUAAAGCGCAUUCAAAUACGUUCGAGCAAGGUGAGAAAGUAGAACGAAGUGCUAUUAUUAAAGCGCAUUCAAAUACGUUCGAGUAAGGUGUGAAAGUAGAACGAAGUGCUAGUAUUAAAGCGCACUCAAACACGUUCGAGCAAGGUG